rnacentral:rRNA from 1 species
CGAAACUGCGAACGGCUCAUUAAAACAGUUAUAAUUUAUUUGAUAAUGUUCUUAUAUGGAUAACCAUUUUGGGAAACUAUGGCUAAUACAUGCUCAAAGACCUUCGGGUUGUAUUUAUUAGUUUUGGCCAAUCUCGGAUUGUGAUGAGUCAUAAUAACUGAUCGAAGCGCACUUGUGUGCGCUAAAUCUUUCAAGUAUCUGCCCUAUCAGAUUGUUGGUAGUGUAUUGGACUACCAAGUCGGUCACGGGUAACGGAGAAUUAGGGUUCGAUUCCGGAGAGGGAGCCUGAGAAACGGCUACCACAGCUACGGUAGGCAGCAGGUGCGUAAAUUACCCAAUCCAAAAUCUGGAAGGUAGUUACAGGAAAUUUG